CCAUCAUCUUUUGGCGGCGAUGCGGACACAUGCAGUCGUACGAGUGAUAGACGAGCUUGCUUCUUUGAUCAGUGGCGAACGGGUGAGUAACACGUGAGCAAUCUGCCCUUGACUCUGGGAUAAGCGUUGGAAACGACGUCUAAUACCGGAUACGACCUUUGGAGGCAUCUCUGGGGGUGGAAAGAAUUUUGGUCAAGGAUGAGCUCGCGGCCUAUCAGCUAGUUGGUGAGGUAAUGGCUCACCAAGGCGACGACGGGUAGCCGGCCUGAGAGGGUGACCGGCCACACUGGGACUGAGACACGGCCCAGACUCCUACGGGAGGCAGCAGUGGGGAAUAUUGCACAAUGGGCGAAAGCCUGAUGCUGCACCCCCGCGUGAGGGACGACGGCCUUCGGGUUGUAAACCU
rnacentral:rRNA from 1 species